UGGUGGUAUAAAAUCCCCUGGGUUUGUCCUCCAGUCAUUCAUCUUGAGAAAAGACGGAGGCAGCAUAGCUAUAUUACGCGUACUUGUGGCUGGGAAGAUACCGAUAACAAGAUGACUAAAAUUGUGAUGGCUUACAUUGGAUUCCUUCUCCUUGCAAUGCAUUUUUCAUCACAGGUCCACGCGCAAAAGGCUAGCACACAGUCCCCUGCCAUGAAUGCUACGACCAAAGCUGGCGGCGCGAGUUCUAACAUGACCAAGAUGCCCGAUGUCGCCAAGAACAACACCAUUCCCAAAGGAGCCAGUGCGUCCUUGCAGUCCAGCUCGGUCGCGCUCAUCAUACCCAUCCUGGUGGGGGGCUCUCUACAGGGGCGCUUCUAGAGGGCUGUUGAUCACUGAACAGACACCGGCAAGACUGUAACAUCAGCGACCUAGAUGGGGUAAACUGUUUUACUAAGAGCACAUUUUUAAAAUAAAAAAUCAAAGGCAUUUGUACGCUCCUAACCGAAGAGAUUCGGUGGAGUUGCGUGGCGGACAUUUCUACUUCUCUGAUGGGUAUUGUUAUUUGCACUCACACCUUCCGGCCGCUUCAAACCAGCAGGCCUACACACCUCGCACACUGGCCCCAUGCCCAUAGGCCGAACGGUACGGUCCUCUCCAUGGAGGCAGUUCAUGAUAAGAUCAGUCCAUGAUGAGGAUGUACGGAACUGCACUUUGAACGGUUUGGUCCCGCUGUUCCAGUGUAGACACCAGGGGCUAGUUUAGUAACUUAAGAAGUUAACAUAUCUAAAGAAAUGUUGGUUUGAGGCUCUUCGAAAAUAAGGUAUAAAUGAAUCUGUGGCACAUGCACGAACAGUGGUAUUUCUGCAACUGCAGUGACUACUUUGUCAGAGGCUUGAUGUACACUUUUUUUUUUUUUUUUUUAAGAAAAUCUAAUUAAGUUUGCAUAUGUGAGCUUGAAUUGUCUAAAUCAGUGUGAUAUGCUUAUUUGUUUAAGGCCAGGUUUAAUAAAGCUUUGAAAUGUAGGCUACUUGUGACAAUUUUCUUGUGUAAUAAAAAUACUUAAACAUAA